rnacentral:rRNA from 1 species
GACGGGGGGGGCAAGUGUUCUUCGGAAUGACUGGGCGUAAAGGGCACGUAGGCGGUGAAUCGGGUUGAAAGUGAAAGUCGCCAAAAACUGGCGGAAUGCUCUCGAAACCAAUUCACUUGGGUGAGACAGAGGAGAGUGGAAUUUCGUGUGUAGGGGUGAAAUUCGUAGAUAUUCGGAAGAACACCAGUGGCGAAGGCGACUUACUGGACACAUAUUGACGCUGAGGUGCGAAAGCGUGGGGAGCAAACAGG